GACGAACGCUGGCGGCGUGCUUAACACAUGCAAGUCGAACGGAAAGGCCCUGCUUUUGUGGGGUGCUCGAGUGGCGAACGGGUGAGUAACACGUGAGUAACCUGCCCUUGACUUUGGGAUAACUUCAGGAAACUGGGGCUAAUACCGGAUAGGAGCUCCUGCUGCAUGGUGGGGGUUGGAAAGUUUCGGCGGUUGGGGAUGGACUCGCGGCUUAUCAGCUUGUUGGUGGGGUAGUGGCUUACCAAGGCUUUGACGGGUAGCCGGCCUGAGAGGGUGACCGGCCACAUUGGGACUGAGAUACGGCCCAGACUCCUACGGGAGGCAGCAGUGGGGAAUAUUGCACAAUGGGCGGAAGCCUGAUGCAGCAACGCCGCGUGCGGGAUGACGGCCUUCGGGUGGUAAACCGCUUUCGCCUGGGACGAAGCGUGAGUGACGGUAAUGGGUAAAGAAGCACCGGCUAACUACGUG
rnacentral:rRNA from 1 species